rnacentral:lncRNA from 1 species
AAAAUAUAAUUUUAGAAUUUAUUUGCGUGUUCUUUUGAAAAUUGUUUUUUUUUUGGUUUUUCAUAAUUAACCUCAUUACAAUUGUUUCAGGCAUGAAAUAGUGGGCGUGGUGACUGAAGUCGGAGCCAAAGUGACUAAAUUCAACGCCGGAGACAAAGUGGGAGUUGGUUAUAUGGUCAGCUCAUGCGGGUCAUGUGAAACCUGCACUGAUGACCAAGAGAACUACUGUCCAAAAAUGAUCCUAACGUCCGGAGGCAAGUAUUACGAUGACACUAUAACAUAUGGUGGUUACUCCGACCACAUGGUUUGUGAAGAGGACUACAUCAUCCGUAUUCCAGAAAAUCUUCCCUUAGACGCUACCGCGCCUCUACUCUGCGCUGGGACCACCGUCUAUUCCCCGAUGAAGUAUCACGGGCUCGACAAGCCGGGUAUGCACAUUGGUGUGGUGGGACUAGGCGGUUUAGGUCAUGUAGCUGUGAAAUUUGCUAAGGCUAUGGGUAUUAAGGUUACAGUUAUUAGUACUUCGGAUAGGAAGAGAGACGAGGCGUUAACUCGGCUUGGUGCGGAUCUGUUCUUGGUGAGCCGUGACCCGGAACAGAUGAAGGAUGCAAUGGGUACUAUGGAUGGUAUUAUUGAUACCGUAUCUGCUACUCAUCCAGUUCUUCCGAUUCUUGAUUUGCUUAAAUAUAAGGGUAAACUUAUUAUGGUUGGUGCACCUGAUAAACCACUUGAGCUUCCGGUUCUGCCUCUCAUCUUUGGUAAGAGCCAUCUUUUUUGACCAUUAUCUCACAUGAUACUUUUAUUGUCAAUUUUCAUAAGCUUAUAAUAUGUAUAUGGUUUUCAUGACGAAAUACUAACUUUUUUUUUAGAGUAUGUUGUCUUUAGCCAAAUUUAAGGAUUGUCUUAAUUUCAAAAUCUUGACCCUAGACAGAUUAAACAUUAUAAUCCCUAAAAUUUAAGAAAUAAUUUACAUAAACAUAUGUGUCAAAUUUUUAAAUUUUUUUAUUAAUAAAACUCCUACUAAAUUACAUAUAGCUUUUUAAAUCUCUGGGCCUGUCCUGGUAUUUUGUAUCAUUAAUAAAAUCUACCGACAUAUAUAUCCAUGACUAUUAUCAAUUUAUCAUAACAAAUUUAAUAACAUUUCAAGUGUACAGUUGAUAAACAUUGAGAAAUUGACAUUUGGCGUUUGGGUCUAAGAGAGGAAUACAUGUGAUAUGAUUAUUGUACAGAUAACUGUCAUCAACAUGAGCAUGACUCAAUGAAUAAACUAUAUAGUGUAUAGUGUCUUGUGUAUAACAUGUAUUGUGUUCUAUAUUAUCGUGUAGAACAUGUUUUGGUCUGUCAAAUAUAAAGUUGUUAUAUUACUGGUUUAGAUAAGGCGUAAUAAAUAUAGUUAGCUAAACAUACGGUUAUAUUUUGUUAUUGGGCUAACAGAUGGUAAGACCAAAUAAUUGUUACUUAAAUGAAAAAGUGCAGUAACCCUGUAUAAGUAGAUUUUUUCAGAAUGAUUCUCUUUUAAUAGAAUAGAUAGAUAAAAUAGUACAACGCUCACCAUCAUGAUAUUUUUAGUAUAAUUAUAAUAUUCUGUUUUAUUAAAUAUGUUCGAAGAAAAUACAUUAUAAAUUUUCUCAAAAAAAAAUACAUUAUAAGAAAAGACAAAUGUUUUGUUACCCAAAAAAAAAAGAACACAAAUGCUUAUGAAAAACUAACAUGUUAAAGCCCAAUAGCGAAGUCUGAAGCCAAUCUAUUCGAUGGCGGCAAGCGGUGAUUUUGCAGCUGAACAUGGUAUUUUAUUUAUUUUUAUUUUUUUUUGUAACAAGCUGAACAUGGUAUAAAAGCAGACAUUGGAAUCAUAUCCAUGGAGUAUGUGAGCACCGUCAAAUAUCGUUUUGUCAUCGACAUUGGUCACAUUGGGAACACAUUGGUUGCUACUACAUCUUAGAACUAAAAUGAAAAAUAUACAAAGACUUCUUGUUGAGACGACACAAAAUAUUGAAAUUAUGGGUUUCACAUCGAUGUUCUCGUUAUGUUCGUUUUUCUUUCCUUUUUUUUUUUGUAACAAUUCGUUUUUCUUUCCUUCUUGUUUUGUUUUACUUCUUGUUGAAUUAAAUUCAUAUGAAAAACAUGGAAGGACAUAUCAAUGAAAAAAAAUCUAUUUUAAAUUAUCGAAAGAGAUAUUAUUUGUGAAUUGAGAUAAGAAAAAAAAACUCCAUGUGAUAUUUCUUUGUUCGUUUGUAUUACCCAUGUGAUAUUUAUUUUCUGUAGUUUUAGCAUUAUUCAUAUUUUGAAUAUACACACACCUCCCAUUUGAAGAUUAGGUCUACGUAUUUAAUACAUUCGGAGCUAACUUUUUUUUUAUCACAAAAAAUGUGGUUGAUCAUUUCCCACGUGUGGAUUAGAUUUUGCUCUGAAUAUAUAUAAUUCCCUCCACACAAACUUUAAGUAGGCAAACGUAUUAUUUCAAUUAGUUAAAUGAGUUAGGCUUCAAUUAUUUCAAUAUCCAAUUUAUUUAUUUUGGCUUAUUCGGAAAAUUAUGAAGUCGAGUUUCAUAAUUUAAAAUCCAACACACCUAUAGUUUUUUUGCUAAAACUUAAACACCUAUCGUUUGGCGUUUGGGUUUACAGUUAACAAUGAAUUUAGUUACCAAUAUUCAGAAGGUGUGGAUCCAUUUGAAAAAUUGUAAAUUAGUAUUUCAGAACAUGAUUUGAACAUAAAUCAUUUAUUUUUAAUUUUGGAAUUUAAUGCUUAUAAUUUGCAACUGUAAUUAUCGAUGAAGAUAUUUUAAUCACGGUAUUGUAAAAUAGUUAAAUUUGAUCAUAUAUUUUUGCGGUACUAUUUUUAAUAUUUUAUUUAAAAUAGAUGAUACUGUUUUAAUUUAUAUCAUUCAAUAGCAGAGAGAAAAAUAAAUUUUUUAAAAAAACUAGAUCUCUAUCUGUGCAACCGCGCGGAUGUUUAUUUCAUUUAUUUUUAUAUAAACAUUUUGUUUUCAAUUCUACAUUGGUAUAUAUUAAUAUAUAUGAGAUGUGUCUAUCAUUUUCUAAAACAUAAUAAUUUUAUCGUAUAUUUUUUGUAUUGAAUUGGUUGUUUCCAGAUCACAUUUUUUUUCUUGGAAAAGAUUGAUAGUUAUUUAAUUCCUAUAGUGUAGUAGACAUAUUAUUUAGUUUCUGUAAUCUAGAAAGUGAAUUAUUUAGAUCUAUAAUAAUGAUAAGAUUAGAAUUAAAUGUAACAUGAAUUUCUAGUAAUAGGUCUAUUAGGUCAAUUUUUUAAAAAAUAUAACACAUGAGUCAAGGUUAUGACUUCUCUUUUAAUAUAUAAGACUAGCAAUAAUAAUUACGAAAACUGAAAAAAAACUUUACGAAAACGAAGGAAGAAGACAUCAGUAUCAUACAUUCAGUUUUGUUUUGUUUACCGAGAAUUAUGAGUUAUCAGACUUAUGACUAUGUUUUUGAAUCCACAACAAAUCUUCAAAUCUCAAAGUAUAACUUAUUUGUAAUGAACGUAAUUCACUAUGAAAUUAGAAGUAAAAUUCUAACUAAGUGGUGGUAGUUUAGUGAUAAUUUUUUGGAGCUUGGUAUGUACGUAUCCACAUCAGUUUUGGGUUCGAUUCUUCCUACGGACUAAAUUAUCAUCAUUUGGCCAGUCUUGGCUUGGACUUCGGUCCAAAUGGUUUAUAUGGUGGAUCGUAACAGAUAAUCGGUUCAUCCCUGUUAUUAGUCAGAAGAUAUUCCAAACUUGAGUUAGGCAGUGUGGUAGUAGUCAGUCCAAUAUUUAGUACUAAAUGCGUUCCUCCCAAGACCGACCAGAUCAGCCGAUAGGAUUUAUCAAAAAAAAAAAAAAUCUCGUAACAAUAUUUGGUUCGCGUGAGAUCACACCUACUAUAUAGUCUGAAAGUUCACUGGUUUCACCUAGUAUAUAGUCUGAAAGCUCAUUGGUUUAUAGUUCAAAAAAAAGUUCAUAUAUAGUCUGAAAGCUCAUUGGUUUAUAGUUCAAAAAAAAGUUCAUAUGGUAAAACAAUUACAAACAUCAAAUAUACGUUAUGAAAAUGGUCCAACAGAGUAAUGAGUAAUAGUACUCACUACUCACUCCUCAACCUACUAUAUAGUCCGAAAGUUCAUUGUUUUAUAGUGUAUAUAUGGUAAAAUAAGUUCAAAAACAUCAAAUAAACGUAAUGAAAAUGGUCCAAGCGAGUGAUGAGUAAUAGUACUCAUAUCGGUUCAACAAGCCUCUCCUAUAUUGAUGACAAAAAAAAAAAAAAAGCCUCUCCUAUAUUAAACCGUGUCACUCCUCUUCACUAUUCCUACAUUUCUCAAUUAUUGAUAUCAUCACUCAAAGAACAAUUCUCAGCCUUAUUCUCUUAUUGCUUAUCCAUAAUGGGAGAGGUCCUUAAGAAGGAGGCGUACGGACUGGCUGUAAAAGACGAAUCUGGAGUUAUCUCGCCUUUCCGUUUCUCAAGAAGGUUCCAGUUUCCUUUUAACGAAUUGAUGAUCUCUAUGAAUUAUGUUUCAUAUUAUAUGUUUUCUUUGAAUGAAACUUAAUUUCGUGGGAUUAAUGUAUAGGGAGACAGGAGAAAAUGAUGUGAGGUUAAAAGUGUUGUUCUGUGGAAUUUGCCACACAGAUUUAAGCAUGGCCAUAAACGAGUGGGGGUUUACUAGUUACCCCCUUGUCCCCGGGUAAGACAACAUUUGGAUACUCAAAAGAUACUCAAAAUCAUAUCAAUAAUGGAAUUUAAUAUGAAAACAUUCCAUCUGAUCAAAUCCAAAUAAAAAAAUUUAGAAACCGUAAAAUUUUGAUUCAGAUUCAAAUAAUAAUAUUUAAGAUUACGGAUCAGUAUCCCAAUCCCAGACAUGGUAAAUUCUAAUCUUACAAUUCAUAGCCGUUAAAUAUACUAAAGUUUUGUAAGAGAUACUCAAAAUCAAAGAUAGAAUUAUUUAUGAAAAGAUUCCAUCUGAGAUUCAAUUCAAAGAAUUUGGAUAUUUUAACACUUUGAGUUUGAAUUCAAAUAUUUAAGUUAAGCAAAAACUGUCCGGAUCCCAAAUAUCGUGAAUUUCUGAUAUAUUUUUGACAAAUUUGAAUUUCUGAUAUUAUAAUCAAUACCUGUUAAAUAUAUUAAAGUUAGAGAUUAUGUACUUUUAUAUAUAAAAGAUAUACAAUUUUUAAGUUUAUUAUAAGUUAUAACAUAUCAUAUCAUAUUAUUUUUAAUAAAUGUUUCCAAAAAUAUAAUUUUAGAAUUUAUUUGGGUGUUCUUUUGAAAAUUGUUUUUUUUUUUUUGGUUUUUCAUAAUUAACCUCAUUAUAAUUGUUUCAGGCAUGAAAUAGUGGGCGUGGUGACUGAAGUCGGAGCCAAAGUGACUAAAUUCAACGCCGGAGACAAAGUGGGAGUUGGUUAUAUGGUCAGCUCAUGCGGGUCAUGUGAAACCUGCACUGAUGACCAAGAGAACUACUGUCCAAAAAUGAUCCUAACGUCCGGAGGCAAGUAUUACGAUGACACUAUAACAUAUGGUGGUUACUCCGACCACAUGGUUUGUGAAGAGGACUACAUCAUCCGUAUUCCAGAAAAUCUUCCCUUAGACGCUACCGCGCCGCUACUCUGC